rnacentral:rRNA from 1 species
GGCGUGCAUAACACAUGCAAGUCGAACGAUGAAACUUGAAUGAUUUUUCGGAAUGAACUUAAGUGGAUUAGUGGCGAACGGGUGAGUAACACGUGAGUAACCUGCCUUACACAAGGGGAUAGCCUCUGGAAACGGAGAAUAAUACCCUAUAAAGUCUAAUCAGCCCAUGCUGGAAAGACCAAAGAUUUAUCGGUGUAAGAUGGACUUGCGUCUGAUUAGCUAGUUGGUGAGAUAAAAGCUCACCAAGGCGACGAUCAGUAGCCGGCUUGAGAGAGUGUACGGCCACAUUGGGACUGAGACACGGCCCAAACUCCUACGGGAGGCAGCAGUGGGGAAUUUUGCACAAUGGGGGAAACCCUGAUGCAGCGACGCCGCGUGAUUUAGAAGGCCUUCGGGUUGUAAAAAUCUUUUUUACGGGAUGAAAAUGACAGUACCGUAAGAAUAAGGUCCGGCUAAAUACGUGCCAGCAGCCGCGGUAAUACGUAUGGACCGAGCGUUGUCCGGAAUCAUUGGGCGUAAAGGGUACGUAGGCGGCCUAGUAAGUUAGAAGUUAAAGAAUAUAGCUCAACUAUAUAAAGCUUUUAAAACUGCUAGGCUUGAGAGAUGGAAGGGAAAGUGGAAUUCCUAGUGUAGCGGUGAAAUGCGCAGAUAUUAGGAAGAAUACCGGUGGCGAAGGCGACUUUCUGGUCAUCAUCUGACGCUGAGGUACGAAAGCGUGGGUAGCAAACAGGAUUAGAUACCCUGGUAGUCCACGCUGUAAACGAUGAGUGUUAGGUUCUUGGAAUAAUCUGGGAGCCGCAGCUAACGCAUUAAACA